GAAAGCUGACGGUACCAAAAGAAUAAGGACCGGCUAACUCCGUGCCAGCAGCCGCGGUAAUACGGAGGGUCCAAGCGUUAUCCGGAAUCAUUGGGUUUAAAGGGUUCGCAGGCGGUUUGAUAAGUCAGUGGUGAAAUCCCGUANCUCAACUACGGAACUGCCAUUGAUACUGUUAGACUUGAAUAUAGUUGGAGUAGGCGGAAUGUGUAGUGUAGCGGUGAAAUGCUUANAUAUUACACAGAACACCGAUAGCGAAGGCAGCUUACUAAACUAUUAUUGACGCUCAUGAACGAAAGCGUNNGGAGCGAACAGGAUUAGAUACCCUGGUAGUCCACGCCGUAAACGAUGAUUACUCGAUAUUGGCGAUAUACGGUCAGUGUCUAANCGAAAGUGAUAAGUAGUCCACCUGGG
rnacentral:rRNA from 1 species